AACGAACGCUGGCGGCAUGCCUAACACAUGCAAGUCGAACGAGACCUUCGGGUCUAGUGGCGCACGGGUGCGUAACGCGUGGGAACCUGCCCUUAGGUUCGGAAUAACUCCCCGAAAGGGGUGCUAAUACCGGAUAAUGUCUUCGGACCAAAGAUUUAUCGCCUUUGGAUGGGCCCGCGUUGGAUUAGCUAGUUGGUAGGGUAAAAGCCUACCAAGGCGACGAUCCAUAGCUGGUCUGAGAGGAUGAUCAGCCACACUGGGACUGAGACACGGCCCAGACUCCUACGGGAGGCAGAAGGGGGGAAUAGUGAAAAAGGGGCGAAAGCUUGAUCCACCAAUGCCGCGUGAGUAAGGAGGGCCUGGGGGUUGAAAAGCUUUUUUCCCGGGGAUGAUAAGGACAGGCCCGGGAAAAAAAGCCCGGGCAACCCCCGCG
rnacentral:rRNA from 1 species